UACGUAGGGUGCAAGCGUUAAUCGGAAUUACUGGGCGUAAAGCGUGCGCAGGCGGCUAUGCAAGACAGAUGUGAAAUCCCCGGGCUCAACCUGGGAACUGCAUUUGUGACUGCAUGGCUAGAGUACGGUAGAGGGGGAUGGAAUUCCGCGUGUAGCAGUGAAAUGCGUAGAUAUGCGGAGGAACACCGAUGGCGAAGGCAGCCCCCUGGGCUAACACUGACGCUCAGGCACGAAAGCGUGGGGAGCAAACAGGG
rnacentral:rRNA from 1 species